GCGGCUGUCGUAUAACGGCUAUUACCGAAGCCUUCCAAGCUUCUGACGAGGGUUCGACUCCCUUCAGCCGCU
rnacentral:tRNA from 3 species